UUAUGUUAGUGUCUAUAUGUUUACUUGGUGGUGGUCUAGCGUGAGUGACACCUGCAUCUGUAACUUACCCAUUGGAUGUUCUUCGAAAUCACCUGACAACACAGAAAACCACUAGGUAUUACAAGGGCAUCUUUCACACGUUGUCUACAAUUUGUAGAGAAGAGAAUAGUAGAGGAUUGUAUAAAGGCCUUUGGUCCACCUUAUUGGGAGUUGGACCUGAUAUAUCAAUCAACGUUUAUGUAUAUGAAUCCUUGAGGUCUCAUUGGAAAAUGGAAAGUUGAAUGUCA